AUCUCCACGUUCUCGCACCGGCGCUGGGGUGCAGGCUUUCAGUGGUCUCAGGGCUACGGCUUGUCGGUGCCUCGCCGCACAGUCCCCUUUGCAUUGAAGGACACGGUCUUACGGUGUAGGAGCAUUUUUGAGGUGCAUUCCUGGAUUUGGAGGCGAACCCCCAAUGGUUACCUCCACAGAGGCUUUGCGAAGGGCGCUCACUGACUUAGGUGAAGAGCGAAGGCUCAAGACUGUGCCGCUUUAUAGUGGCCCCUUGACGUCCAGAAGUUCCCCCCAGCGCCGGUCAUAAGCACUCCCGCCGCCUGGGCCCCGCCCUGCCUGCCAGGCGCCCUCCAGCCUCAGCUCCCGGACGCCCGGCGUGGCCGCUUUCUCGCGUCUUGCUGACCCGGGCCGGGGGCGUGUGCUCCUCCUGCAGCGGACGGAAGAUGCUGGGCCACGCAAGUUUCCCUGGGCUUGGUUAACCACCCCAAAGCCCAUUUCCAGAAGGAAAGGGUGUUGAGGAGGAGGGAUAGAAAGUCGAGAAGAGGGCCGGGUGAGUGGCUCACGCCUGUCAUCCCAGCACUUUGGGAGGCCGAGACAGGCGGAUCACCUGAGGUCAGGACUUAGAGACCAGCCUGGCCUACAUGGUGAAACCCCGUCUCUACUAAAAAUACAAAAAUUAGCCGGGUGUGGUGCCGUGCGCCUGUAGUCCCAGCAACUCGGGAGGCUGAGGUAGGAGAAUCGCUUGAACCCGGGAGUCGGAGGUUGCAGUGCUGAGAUGGCACCUGGCCUGGGCGGCAAGAGCGAAACUCCAUCUCAAAAAAAAAAAGAAGAGGAAAUGAGGCAUAGGGGCAGGCGAGCCGGGAAAAUAUUGCUACUAAGGAUCCUAAGCAGUGAACAUGCUGUUAAUACUUGUAAGACUCCUAGCAAACUGCAUUUAAUUUUUUAAAUUAGUUUUAGUGUACAUAAAGGCAUGUCUUUUCCAAAUACUGUA
rnacentral:lncRNA from 10 species